UGUUUUACAUGGAAAUCAGGUCUGGUUACACAUCAGAGAACUCACACAGAUGAGAGGCCAUUUUCUUGUUCUGAGUGUGAGAAAUGUUAUACCACGAAUACACGCCUAGCUAGACAUCAGAGAGCUCAGCACAGGAGGGGGAGUAUAUAGAGGAACACAGGGGUCUGUACAAGGACGUGAUGAUGGAGAAUCACCGGCCCCUCACAUCGCUGGAUGGUCCCAGUAACAGAGAUACCCCAGAGAGAUGUCACCAUCCUCUGUAUUCCCAGGAUUGUACAGAGGAGAAUCACAGGAUCCCACAGGAGGAUCAGGAGGAAGAACUGACUGAUUUUAUGGCAGAAGACACAGAGGGAGAAGAAGCGACGUAUGU